rnacentral:tRNA from 1 species
UUACAAACCAAGAGGUGUUCUGAACACCAAGAACUGCUAAUUCUUACUGCUGAAGUUAAAAUCCUC